GCUCAUCUCAUUUGGGCGGCCAAACAAAUUUUGGGCAGCUGAGAUGUGGAUUCAAAUUUUGAAUCCCUUACUCAUCCCAAUCCCAAGACACUUAUCAUACGCAUACUCUUCACAUGCUUUUCUGUUCCUAUUCUUUCUUCUCCCAGAGAAACCCUAAAACACAAAUGAAGUCAGAUUUUGUAGAUUCCAAUUACUUCUCAUUCUCAACAAAAUCGACUUCUCAUUUUAUCAAAAUCACCCCGGAAUUAUUCAACGAUUUGGAUGAACAAAGAUCCAUCCAACUCACAUCCAAGUUCCGAAAACCCAAGAUCUAGGAUUUAAUUUCAUGUCUGGAUUAAACUGAUUAGGAUGACAGAUCUAUAGUUCGUGAUUGCACUUGGUUGAGGGUUUCGAACAGUGCGAGGUUAUGGCGUCUGCAGAUGCUGAGCUGGAGCGACUGCUUAAGGAGACAGGGAAACAGUUAUCGCUUCCUCAUGAUUAUGUUGAUGAACUUCUUCAUGUUCUUGAUAACUUUUCUUAGUUACAGCCGGAGAACUUUCGUGGAGGAGAAUGGUUGAAUAAGCUGGCGAUGAUGAAGACAGUUCAGAAGGGCACCGUGAAUCUGUGAGUUAAUACACCUCUCGAAAUCUUCAGUUUGAGUGGAUUCGCUCAGAUGUUAUUCCAGGGUUUCUAUGUGGAGAAGAAACGCAUGAUUGGUGGUUGGAUCUCAUAAAAGGAAUGAGUUGUUGACAAUAAGACAUGAAUCUGAUGGAAAGGGGGAGAGUUGAGCUUAAGAGGAUUGAAAACAAGAUAAACAGGCAAGUGACUUUUGCAAAAAGAAGAAAUGGACUGCUAAAGAAAGCAUAUGAACUCUCUGUACUUUGUGAUGCUGAGGUGGCUCUUAUUAUCUUCUCCAACCAUGGGAAGCUUUAUGAGUUCUGCAGCACCUCCAAGUACACUUUUUUACUAUGUGUUUGUGUGUGCUUUUGUACAUCUGAGAUGGGCUUUGUGUUUCUUGAUGUAUAGAUAUAUAAUCAUGUGGUUAUUUGUUAGUUUAGUGUGGUUUGUGUAGAAGAAGAUUCUCAAGUUGGAAUGUCGUUGUUAGGAUCACACUGGUUGAAUCUGAAGGUUCCGGAGCCUGCUCAGGCGUUGCAGAAUCUGCCGGUGCAUCUACAGGCAGAUAUAAGUAUGGAAGCCAUGAAUCAAGUCAAAAGGAGAAAAACGAUGUUCAGAAGGUGGAUAUCUGAUUUAAAUAUUGUGAUAUACCUUCAGUGAAAAGACUUAAGGUUCAGGCGCGUCCUCGAGCUAUCAUUGGUGGACAAACAGUUGUAUCCAAUCACUAUCCGCUCUGUUCAGGCAGGCUGCGCCUCAAGAGAUUUGUAAAAAACGUUCUUGAUUUGGGCCCAAACCAACAACCAACCAAAUUAGACCAGUUGAAUGUGACUGAUUUUGACAAAAUAAAAUCCAGUCAAAAAAACCUACCUACAGUUUAAAAAAAACAACAAUACAAUUGACUAGAUUUGCUGGGUCAACUGGAUUGGCAAAAGCGGUUUGUUUUGACGUUUCGAUAAAGAUAGUUCAUGAUAUUGUGCAGAUACAUUUUCUAAAAAAAAUAAUAGAUAUAAAUAACAAAUUUUGUUUACACGUGUUCCACAUUUUUUGGUCUAAUUUGGUAUUGAUAUCGAUUGUUAAUAGAUAUGUCGAUUUUUUUGGUCUUUUUCGUGUAGAGGGACUCUUUCCACUAUGUAACAUUUUUCUUUAAAUGUGUUACACAUAACAAAUUUUAUUAACCACAUGGACCUGCAAUACCGACCCGGUUCCCACCUUACCCGAACCACAGGUACAAACCAGUUUCAGAACCGGCCGAAGAAAAAAGAACCGAACCGGAUCCACCUAUACCCGGUCAAAACCCGGACCUGAACUGGCCAAAAACUCGAACAUGCCGGAACCUGUUCCUACUCGGAACCAGUACCUACCCGGUACCAAUUCUAAAAAAAAACCUGUUUUGUGCCCCUCUGAUAUUCACAAUUGAGCAUUUGGCCGGUGAAGUGAAACCAGUAGAAUGUGAUGUCGGUGACAACAUUCCUGGUGGCGCAAGAAAUAUAGACGGUAUGAUGAUUCUCAAGGCAAAGAAGACGUGGAAAGAAUCUAUGCUGAAUUGUGUGCCCCUCUGAUAUUCACAAUUGAGCAUUUGGCCGGUGAAGUGAAACCAGUAGAAUGUGAUGUCGGUGACAACAUUCCUGGUGGCGCAAGAAAUAUAGACGGUAUGAUGAUUCUCAAGGCAAAGAAGACGUGGAAAGAAUCUAUGCUGAAUAAGAUAGUGCAGCUGACAAAAGAAGGUUCAACAAAGGAAACCUAAGCUUCAAAUGUGGUUGGAUCAGUUUGGUGAGAAUUACAGCAGGGUAUGAUGCAACCAUCAAUGAGAUUGAACUUUUUUGCUUCAAAAAGUAGCCGAGCCAAGCAAUAUACACUAUAUACGCUUCAUACAGUACGGUGGCUGUUGAAUGGAGUAUUGGUUUUAUAGCAUAUAUUCUUUUAUGUGGGAGAAGGCCCUUUUGGGCCCGAACUAAGUGCCAGAUUUUUCGGGUUGUUUUAAAAAUCCAUUCAAGUUUUAAUGAAAUACCGUGGCCUACGUUAUCCUUUUGAGUCUAAA